rnacentral:lncRNA from 1 species
GGGGACCUGAGAGAGACGGGUCUGAAAGGAGGGCAGGGGCAGAAAGAGCGUCCUGAGCAGCCUCUCUCAACCCUCUCCCCCACCCACCCCCCGGCCCCUUAUCAUCAUCCUCGUCAUCCCACAGGAGGAGGGGAGGGGAGGCCACGUUUGACAGGAGGCUCCACGAGGGCAGACCCAUCAAGAUCGCCAAGGCCCCUUAUCAUCAUCCUCGGCCCCUUAUCAUCAUCCUCGUCAUCCCACAGGAGGAGGGGAGGGGAGGCCACGUUUGACAGGAGGCUCCAGGAGGGCAGACCCAUCAAGAUCGCCAGGGGCCCUCCUGACCCCGGGCUUGGUUCCUGGCUCGACAGGUCGCCCUUUCAGGCCUUUCCCUGCCCGGAUCCUUUCCCCUCGUCAUCCCACAGGAGGAGGGGAGCGACAAAGCGCCUCGAGGCCCUGAGGCCGAUCGGGACACCGGCGGGCCGGGGCGCUGAGGAGGAGGAGGAGGAGGAGGAAGAGGCGCGGGCGGGCCGGGAGGGAGGGUCCCCAGGGCCUCGGGGCUCCUCCGUCGCUUCGCCUGCUUUAAACGCGAGCCAGGCCCUUCCUCGGCCCGGAAGGCGGAAGGAAGGCUUCGGGCCGGGGCGCCCAGGCCUCCCUCCCUCUCCCUCCCUCUCUCUCUCUCUCCACCGGCGGGGGAAGGGAAGGGAAGCGGAGAGGCGGCAGGAGGGCCCGCGAGGCUCUCGGCCAGGCCCCGGAGGACGAGGGGAGGGGCAGCUGAAGCCCCGAGAGGGGGGGGGAGGAGGCCUUACUUACCGGGCUCCGGGCGGGGACGAGAGACGGGAAGACCAACCGCGAACCGGCCAGCGCGCGAGACCCGCUCCCCUCACGCGCCCCCUCCUCCUCCUCCUUCCUCGGCUGCGCUCCGAGAGAGAAAUCUCGCCAAGCCUCGCGAGAACGUGGCCUCCAGAAGCGGCGGUUGGCCCGCUGCCGGUCACGUGGGGAAGGGACCUUUCCUUUGGACCGGACCGGGUCACGUGGCCACCGCCGCUCGGCGGAGUUGGGGCGUCCUUUCGGCCUCGGAUGACGGCAGAGAGUGGAAAUCAAGAGACAGGACCCUAA